rnacentral:rRNA from 1 species
GACGAACGCUGGCGGCGUGCUUAACACAUGCAAGUCGAACGGAAAGGCCCUGCUUGCAGGGUACUCGAGUGGCGAACGGGUGAGUAACACGUGGGUGAUCUGCCCUGCACUUCGGGAUAAGCCUGGGAAACUGGGUCUAAUACCGGAUAGGAGCCAUUUUUAGUGUGAUGGUUGGAAAGUUUUUUCGGUGUAGGAUGAGCUCGCGGCCUAUCAGCUUGUUGGUGGGGUAAUGGCCUACCAAGGCGGCGACGGGUAGCCGGCCUGAGAGGGUGGACGGCCACAUUGGGACCGAGGUACGGCCCAGACUCCUACGGGAGGCAGCAGUGGGGAAGAUUGCACAAUGGGCGCAAGCCUGAUGCAGCGACGCCGCGUGGGGGAUGACGGCCUUCGGGUUGUAAACUCAUUUCGCUAGGGACGAAGCUUUUUGUGACGGUACCUAGAUAAGAAGCAACGGCUAACUACGUG